rnacentral:rRNA from 1 species
GACGAACGCUGGCGGCGUGCUUAACACAUGCAAGUCGAACGCUGAAGCCUAGCUUGCUGGGUGGAUGAGUGGCGAACGGGUGAGUAACACGUGAGUAACCUGCCCUCUUCUUUGGGAUAACGCCCGGAAACGGGUGCUAAUACUGGAUAUUCACUGAUCUUCGCAUGGGGGUUGGUGGAAAGGUUUUUUCUGGUGGGGGAUGGGCUCGCGGCCUAUCAGCUUGUUGGUGGGGUGAUGGCCUACCAAGGCUUUGACGGGUAGCCGGCCUGAGAGGGUGACCGGUCACAUUGGGACUGAGAUACGGCCCAGACUCCUACGGGAGGCAGCAGUGGGGAAUAUUGCACAAUGGGCGAAAGCCUGAUGCAGCGACGCCGCGUGAGGGAUGGAGGCCUUCGGGUUGUAAACCUCUUUCGCUCAUGGUCAAGCCGCAGCUUCGGGUUGUGGUGAGGGUAGUGGGUAAAGAAGCGCCGGCUAACUACGUGCCAGCAGCCGCGGUAAUACGUAGGGCGCGAGCGUUGUCCGGAAUUAUUGGGCGUAAAGGGCUUGUAGGCGGUUGGUCGCGUCUGCCGUGAAAUCCUCUGGCUUAACUGGGGGCGUGCGGUGGGUACGGGCUGACUUGAGUGCGGUAGGGGAGACUGGAACUCCUGGUGUAGCGGUGGAAUGCGCAGAUAUCAGGGAGAACACCGGUGGCGAAGGCGGGUCUCUGGGCCGUUACUGACGCUGAGGAGCGAAAGCGUGGGGAGCGAACAGG